rnacentral:rRNA from 1 species
GAUCCUGGCCUCAGGACGAACGCUGGCGGCGCGCCUAACACAUGCAAGUCGAACGAGAGAUGAAGAGCUUGCUCUUCAAAUCGAGUGGCGAACGGGUGAGCAACGCGUGAGGAACCUGCCUCAAAGAGGGGGACAACAGUUGGAAACGACUGCUAAUACCGCAUAAGCCCGCGGCUCGGCAUCGAGCAGGGGGAAAAGGAGCAAUCCGCUUUGAGAUGGCCUCGCGUCCGAUUAG